GCUUACGGCCAUACCACCCUGAACACGCCUGAACUCGUCUGAUCUCGGAAGCAAAGGAGGGCCGGGCCUGGUCAGUACAUGGACAGGAGACCGCCUGGGAAUACCAGGUGCUGUAAGCU
ensembl:rRNA 5S_rRNA 5S ribosomal RNA